rnacentral:rRNA from 1 species
AGUGGGAAAGGAUGUGGAGUUGCAUAGACAACCAGGAGGUUGGCUUAGAAGCAGCCACCCUUGAAAGAGUGCGUAAUAGCUCACUGGUCAAGUGAUUCCGCGCCGACAAUGUAACGGGGCUCAAGCACACCACCGAAGUUGUAGAUUUCGUAUUUUAGGUAAGCCUUCGUGGUUCAGCCGUACGGAGUGGUAGGAGAGCGUCGUGUGGCGAGUGAAGCGGCGGUGUAAACCAGCCGUGGACGCUACACGAGUGAGAAUGCAGGCAUGAGUAGCGAAAGACGGGCGAGAAACCCGUCCUCCGAAUGAUCAAGGGUUCCAGGGCCAGGCUAAUCCGCCCUGGGUAAGUCGGGACCUAAGGCGAGGCCGACAGGCGUAGUCGAUGGACAACGGGUUGAUAUUCCCGUACUGACGAAGAACCGCCCAAACUAAUCCAGUGAUGCUAAGAGUCUGAAUCCUCUAGAUGGAUCCCUUCGGGGUGAAGCGUGAGGCCUAGCACUCGACCCUAUGCUGGUGCGGUUAGCGUAUUAACAGGUGUGACGCAGGAAGGUAGCUGAGCCGGGCGAUGGUUGUCCCGGUCUAAGAAUGUAGGCCGAGAGAUAGGCAAAUCCGUCUCUCAUUACGGCUGAGACUCGAUGGGUAGUCCUCACGGACGAAAUCAGUGAUCCUAUGCUGCCAAGAAAAGCAUCGACGCGAGGUUCAAGUUACCCGUACCCCAAACCGACUCAGGUGAUCAGGUAGAGAAUACCAAGGCGCUUGAGAGAACUCUGCUGAAGGAACUAGGCAAAAUGGUACCGUAACUUC